AGGAAACUCCUGCUAAUACCGCAUAGCCAUGAGCACCGCAUGGAGCUCAUGCCAAAUAUCCUUUCGGGGAUAGCGCAGGGAUGGACCUAUGGCGCAUUAGCUUGUUGGCGGGGCAACGGNCCACCAAGGCAACGAUGCGUAACCGGCCUGAGAGGGCGGACGGCCACAUUGGGACUGAGACACGGCCCACACUCCUACNGGAGGCAGCAGUAGGGAAUUUUCGGUAUGGGGGAAACCCUGACCGANCAACGCGCGUGAGCGAAGAAGGCCUUCGGGUCGUAAAGCUCUGUUGUAAAGGAAGAACGGCGCAUACAGGAAAUGGUAUGCGAGUGACGGUACUUUACCAGAAAGCCACGGCUAACUACGUGCCAGCAGCCGCGGUAAUACGUAGGUGGCGAGCGUUAUCCGGAAUCAUUGGGCGUAAAGAGGGAGCAGGCGGCCGCAAGGGUCUGNGGUGAAAGACCGAAGCUAAACUUCGGUAAGCCAUGGAAACCGGGCGGCUAGAGUGCGGAAGAGGAUCGUGGAAUUCCAUGUGUACCGGUGAAAUGCNUAGAUAUAUGGAGGAACACCAGUGGCGAAGGCGACGGUCUGGGCCGCAACUGACGCUCAUUCCCGAAAGCGUGGGGAGCAAAUAGGAUUAGAUACCCUAGUAGUCCACGCCGUAAACGAUGGUCACUAAGUGUCGGGGGUCAAACCCCGGUGCUUGCAGUCAACGCAAUAAGUGACCC
rnacentral:rRNA from 1 species